rnacentral:rRNA from 1 species
UACAGAGGGUGCUAGCGUUGUUCGGAAUCAUUGGGCGUAAAGGGCGUGUAGGCGGUUUGUUAAGUCAUGUGUGAAAUCCCUCGGCUCAACCGGGGAACGACGCAUGAAACUGGCAGCUAGAGUACCAAAGAGGGGGGUGGAAUUCCCGGUGUAGCGGUGAAAUGCGCAGAUAUCAGGAGGAACACCAGUGGCGAAGGCGGCACUCUGGGCCGGUACUGACGCUGAGGAGCGAAAGCGUGGGUAGCAAACAGG